rfam:Gossypium hirsutum cultivar TM-1 chromosome 14, whole genome shotgun sequence
AAUUAAAAUUUUCAUCAAUUUCUAUUGUUAAAAACUUGUGUGAUUAAGAGAAUGAUCAGACACUUACAUAUUGCAUGCCAUGUAUACUUCAUGUCAACGUAUAGAGACCAAUUUUUAAUAGAAGAAAUGAAUGAAAUUUUUAACA